rnacentral:piRNA from 1 species
AUUAUCCUUAGGACUCUGCAUUAAC